CAGGGACUCGCCAAAUACGAG
rnacentral:siRNA from 1 species